GAUGAACGCUGGCGGUGUGCUUUAGGUAUGCAAGUCGAGCGGGUUCCUUUCGAGGAACCAGCGGCAGACGGGUGAGUAACGCGUAGGAAUCUUCCUUUUGGUGGGGAAUAGCCUCGAGAAAUCGGGGGUAAUACCGCAUAAGUUAGACAUCCUUUGGAUGUCUAGGAAAGGCCAUAACUGGUCGCCGAAAGAUGAGCCUGCGUCCUAUCAGCUUGUUGGUGAGGUAAUGGCUCACCAAGGCUUUGACGGGUAGCUGGACUGAGAGGUCGGUCAGCCACAAUGGGACUGCGACACGGCCCAUACAUCUACGGAUGGCAGCAACCGGGAAUAUUGCGCAAUGGACGAAAGUCUGACGCAGCGACACCGCGUGGGGGAUGAAGGCCUUCGGGUUGUAAACCUCUUUUAUAAGGGAAGAAGUGGUUCUUUAUGAACCAUUGACGGUACCUUUUGAAUAAGCACCGGCUAACUACG
rnacentral:rRNA from 1 species